rnacentral:hammerhead_ribozyme from 1 species
AUCCAGCUGACGAGUCCCAAGUAGGACGAAACGCGCGUCCUGGAC